rnacentral:rRNA from 1 species
UACGAAGGGGGCUAGCGUUGCUCGGAAUCACUGGGCGUAAAGCGCACGUAGGCGGAUUGUUAAGUCAGGGGUGAAAUCCUGGAGCUCAACUCCAGAACUGCCUUUGAUACUGGCGAUCUCGAGUCCGGGAGAGGUGAGUGGAACUGCGAGUGUAGAGGUGAAAUUCGUAGAUAUUCGCAAGAACACCAGUGGCGAAAGCGGCUUCCUGGUCCAGCACCGACGUUCAGGCACGAAAGCGUGGGGAGCAAACAGG